UACGAAGGGUGCAAGCGUUAAUCGGAAUUACUGGGCGUAAAGCGUGCGUAGGCGGUUUGUUAAGUCUGUUGUGAAAUCCCCGGGCUCAACCUGGGAAUGGCAAUGGAUACUGGCAGGCUAGAGUGUGUCAGAGGAUGGUGGAAUUCCCGGUGUAGCGGUGAAAUGCGUAGAGAUCGGGAGGAACAUCAGUGGCGAAGGCAGCCCCCUGGGAUAACACUGACGCUCAUGCACGAAAGCGUGGGGAGCAAACAGG
rnacentral:rRNA from 1 species